rnacentral:snoRNA from 1 species
UGGACACGUAAGUUUUCUUUCAGUUUCCUCCUCUAUGUGGAGAAAACUGUACAAGUGUCCUAUAGUAACACAGAAGGUAUCUGUUCAACUCUGAUGAGUUAAUGGGGUUGGAUCGUUCCACUUCUGACAGCU